rnacentral:ncRNA from 2 species
UGUCAGUUUCAGGGAAGGUGCAAUUCCUUACUGGCGGUAAUCCGCACCCCGGGAUUCAUAACGGGAGCAUGCGGAAAGCCCGCGAGCCGCCCUAAGGCGGCCGAUCCGGUGCGAUUCCGGAGCCAACGGUUACAGUCCGGAUGGAAGAAACGAGGA